rnacentral:rRNA from 1 species
UCCGUCAGUUCGUACCGUAAGGCGUUCUGUUAAGUCAGAUAACGAACGAGACCUCCGUCACCAUUUGCUAUUCUUCUCUCCGGAGAGGGAGCACUAUGGUGGUACCGCCAUUGUUAAAAUGGAGGAAGGAGGGGGCAACGGUAGGUCAGUAUGCCCCGAAUCUCCCGGGCUACACGCGCGCUACAAAGGGCAGGACAAUGGGCUUCGACACCGAAAGGUGAAGGCAAUCCCGAAACCUGCUCGUAAUUCGGAUUGAGGGCUGCAAUUCGCCCUCAUGAAGCUGGAAUACGUAGUAAUCGCGGGUCAACAUCCCGCGGUGAAUAUGCCCCUGCUCCUUGCACACACCGCCCGUCAAACCACNUUAGUUGGGUCUGGAC